AGUUCGGAUUGAAGGCUGAAAUUCGCCUUCAUGAAGCCGGAAUUGCUAGUAAUGGCAGGUCAGCAUACUGCCGUGAAUACGUUCCCGGGCCUUGUACACACCGCCCGUCACACCAUGAGAGUUGGGAAUACCCGAAGCCUGUGAGCUAACUUUAAGAGGCAGCAGUCGAAGGUGGGGUUGAUGAUUGGGGUGAAGUCGUAACAAGGUACC
rnacentral:rRNA from 1 species